CAUGCAAGUCGAACGCGUUGGCCCAAUUGAUUGAUGGUGCUUGCACCUGAUUGAUUUUGGUCGCCAACGAGUGGCGGACGGGUGAGUAACACGUAGGUAACCUGCCCAGAAGCGGGGGACAACAUUUGGAAACAGAUGCUAAUACCGCAUAACAGCGUUGUUCGCAUGAACAACGCUUAAAAGAUGGCUUCUCGCUAUCACUUCUGGAUGGACCUGCGGUGCAUUAGCUUGUUGGUGGGGUAACGGCCUACCAAGGCGAUGAUGCAUAGCCGAGUUGAGAGACUGAUCGGCCACAAUGGGACUGAGACACGGCCCAUACUCCUACGGGAGGCAGCAGUAGGGAAUCUUCCACAAUGGGCGCAAGCCUGAUGGAGCAACACCGCGUGAGUGAAGAAGGGUUUCGGCUCGUAAAGCUCUGUUGUUAAAGAAGAACACGUAUGAGAGUAACUGUUCAUACGUUGACGGUAUUUAACCAGAAAGUCACGGCUAACUACGUGCCAGCAGCCGCGGUAAUACGUAGGUGGCAAGCGUUAUCCGGAUUUAUUGGGCGUAAAGAGAGUGCAGGCGGUUUUCUAAGUCUGAUGUGAAAGCCUUCGGCUUAACCGGAGAAGUGCAUCGGAAACUGGAUAACUUGAGUGCAGAAGAGGGUAGUGGAACUCCAUGUGUAGCGGUGGAAUGCGUAGAUAUAUGGAAGAACACCAGUGGCGAAGGCGGCUACCUGGUCUGCAACUGACGCUGAGACUCGAAAGCAUGGGUAGCGAACAGGAUUAGAUACCCUGGUAGUCCAUGCCGUAAACGAUGAGUGCUAGGUGUUGGAGGGUUUCCGCCCUUCAGUGCCGGAGCUAACGCAUUAAGCACUCCGCCUGGGGAGUACGACCGCAAGGUUGAAACUCAAAGGAAUUGACGGGGGCCCGCACAAGCGGUGGAGCAUGUGGUUUAAUUCGAAGCUACGCGAAGAACCUUACCAGGUCUUGACAUCUUGCGCCAACCCUAGAGAUAGGGCGUUUCCUUCGGGAACGCAAUGACAGGUGGUGCAUGGUCGUCGUCAGCUCGUGUCGUGAGAUGUUGGGUUAAGUCCCGCAACGAGCGCAACCCUUGUUACUAGUUGCCAGCAUUAAGUUGGGCACUCUAGUGAGACUGCCGGUGACAAACCGGAGGAAGGUGGGGACGACGUCAGAUCAUCAUGCCCCUUAUGACCUGGGCUACACACGUGCUACAAUGGACGGUACAACGAGUCGCGAACUCGCGAGGGCAAGCAAAUCUCUUAAAACCGUUCUCAGUUCGGACUGCAGGCUGCAACUCGCCUGCACGAAGUCGGAAUCGCUAGUAAUCGCGGAUCAGCAUGCCGCGGUGAAUACGUUCCCGGGCCUUGUACACACCGCCCGUCACACCAUGAGAGUUUGUAACACCCAAAGUCGGUGGGGUAACCUUUUAGGAGCCAGCC
rnacentral:rRNA from 1 species